rnacentral:rRNA from 1 species
AACGAACGCUGGCGGCAGGCUUAACACAUGCAAGUCGAACGCAUGCCCUCGGGCAUGAGUGGCAGACGGGUGAGUAACGCGGGGGAACCUACCCCUUGGUACGGGAUAGCUCCGGGAAACUGGAGAUAAUACCGUAUGCGUCCUGAGGGACAAAGAUUCAUCGCCAAGGGAUGGGCCCGCAUCGGAUUAGCUAGUUGGUGGGGUAACGGCCUACCAAGGCGACGAUCCGUAGCUGGUCUAAGAGGAUGAUCAGCCACAUUGGGACUGAGACACGGACCAAACUCCGACGGGAGGCAGCAGUGGGGAAUAUUGGACAAUGGGCGCAAGCCUGAUCCAGCCAUGCCGCGUGAGUGAUGAAGGCCCUAGGGUUGUAAAGCUCUUUCACCGGUGACGAUAAUGACGGUAACCGGAGAAGAAGCCCCGGCUAACUUCGUG